UCUCCGUUGGUGAACCAGCGGAGGGAUCAUUACCGAGUUUACAACUCCCAAACCCAAUCUGAACCAUACCAAACUGUUGCCUCGGCUGGGUCACGCCCCGGGUGCGUCGCAGCCCCGGAACCAGGCGCCCGCCGGAGGGACCAACCAAACUCUUUCUGUAGUCCCAUCGCGGACGUUAUUUUUACAGCUCUGAGCAAAAAUUCAAAAUGAAUCACAACUUUCAACAACGGAUCUCUUGGUUCUG
rnacentral:misc_RNA from 1 species